rnacentral:misc_RNA from 1 species
CUGAUAUUGCACAUAAUGAAUGUUUUUUGUUUCGACCGCGUGAUUCGAAGUUCCCUUUCCAUCCCCCAGAUAGCCGUGCCCGACGUCCUGGAAGCAGCCAAGGAUGCAGAUGUCAUUGUCUUCGUCAUACCACACCAGUUCAUCAAGAACAUCUGCAAGCCGCUGGUGGGUCAGCUCAAGCCCACCGCCGUCGGCAUCUCGCUUAUUAAGGGUUUUGACAUAGCUGAAGGUGGUGGUAUUGCCCUCAUCUCUAGAAUCAUCUGUGACUUCGUAAAUGUUCCCAUGUCAGUCCUUAUGGGAGCCAACCUUGCAGGAGAAGUAGCAGAGGAAAAAUUUUGUGAAACAACCAUAGGCUGUCGCGAUCCCAUAGUAGGCCGGAUGUACAGGGACCUCAUCCAGACAGAUUACUUCAGAGUUGUUGUUGUUGAUGAUGUUGAAGCUGUUGAAGUAUGUGGUGCUCUGAAGAAUAUUGUUGCCACUGGUGCUGGAUUUAUUGAUGGUCUUGGCUUUGGUGACAACACAAAGGCAGCUGUGAUUAGAUUAGGCCUUAUGGAAAUGAUCAAAUUUUGUGAAGUAUUUUAUCCAGGUUCCAAACUGGGCACAUUCUUUGAAAGUUGCGGAGUUGCUGAUCUUAUCACAACUUGCUAUGGUGGCAGGAAUAGGAGAGUUGCAGAGGCUUUUGUGAAGACUGGAAAGACAAUUGAAGAACUGGAAAAGGAGAUGCUGAAUGGCCAGAAGCUACAGGGACCACAAACUGCUGAAGAAGUUAAUUACAUGCUGAAGAACAAGGGGAUGGAAGAUCGGUUUCCACUUUUCACCUCCAUACAUCGCAUUUGCAAGGGCGAAAUCCCCCCUGCAGAAAUGGUAAACUGCAUCAGGAACCAUCCAGAACACAUGAAACAAAAUAAAAAAUAUAUGUUGUGAUCUUCAAACAAGUCUUUUAAAUCAAAGCUCUAAGUCAUCGACCUACUUUUGGUGUACAUUCGACAAGGAACACACCACUGUCACAGGCAACCAUGACUGAUGAAGACAAGACUGAGCAUAGGCAGUGUCAUCCAUCCCAGUUCUGCUAUAUUACAUCACCAGUCUUCCUGAAAAUUUGAAGCACAUUCUUGAAGUGGAAAUUUUAAAAUUAUAUAUAUAUAUAUAUUAUAUAUAUAUAUAUAUAUAUUAUAUAUAUAUAUAUAUAUAUAUAUAUAUAUAUAUAUAUAUAUAUAUAUAUAUAUAUAUAUAAUUUUUUUUCCUUUUUUCUUUUUUUGAUAAUGAUAGCAAAUGCUAACUUAAAGAUAGGAUGCAAACCAUUUACUGUAGAGUGUGAGCACUUUUUUAUAUAUUGCAAAAAUAUAGAUGAAAGUUUUAUCUUUUCAUGAAAAAAAUUGUUGUUUUAUACAGUAAUGAUUGAUCCAAUGCACCUUCUUUAGUAUUUUGACUUGAAGUAUUCUGGUUAUGUUUAGAUAAAUGAAUUUGAAAUACAAAGAUGUGAGAACUUUUGGGGAUGUGUUGAAUGGCACUAACUAUUAUGUCUGGUACUGAAUUGUGUUCAAAUGACUUUUUUGAAAUAUUAGAUGAGUUAGUCUUUAUUGUAUAAGAUCUUCAUACAAUUUUGUUAUUUGUAGAACUAGUUCUGAAAACCAUUAACUAUCAGGAAAAUAUUCCUUUCUAGAUACACUGAAUACUCAGUUACAAUUAUUACAUAGUUACCAUAUACUUAUGCUCAACUAUUUUUAGUAAUUCCUGUUCAAACCCACCCUUUUGGUGCUACAAACCUCAUUUUAAUUCUAAAAAAGAAACUAAAUGAAAGUGAGUUACCAUUAAAAUUAAGUGAAGAUUUGAAAUACCCCAAUUCUGUGCAGAUAUUAAGUUAAUAGACCUGCUUAAAUACAUGGAUGCAAUGCCAGUUCCUGUUUUGAGCAGCUUUAACCAUGAAUAGCAAGUGUAGAGCAGAUGAAAGCUAGCAAUUUAUGAAUCUUCCUUGUUUGUUUGCAGUAUAUAGAUACAGGCUUUUUAUCAUAUGGCAACUUACUGGACUGAAAAAGAAAUAUGAAAGUUUUGGAUUGCCAUUGUUAGUAAUGAUUGCAGCUUUGGUUCUGUACAUAAAUAGUCACGUCAUGAUUACCGAAGUCUACCUAUUGUUGUGCCAUUAUUACCUAUAUUUUGAAAUUAGAUUGUAUGAGGUGAAUAUCAUACAAUUUCCAUGAGUGAAAGGAAGACCGGUCUGAAUGCAUAAUAGUUACAUAUAUCUGGUUUCAUUUCCUUAUAUUGUUAUAUUUUAUUUUUUUUCUCUCUCCUUUUUUUCUUUUGGUGUAAAUCAAAGGUUGUGCAAUUUCUAUGUAUGGUACCAUUGUUUGUGUUCUUCAUUUUAUAUUGAAAAUUGUUGAGCAUUUUUCUCAGUUAGAUUAUUAUGGAUUACCUUAGUUUAUGAAGACACAAGUAUGUAAAAGAAAUAGAUGUAAUAUAUGCAGCUUGAGAUUAAUAUCUUAACAUAGAUUAACUAUAUAAACAGUGUAGAAAUUGAUCCUUUAGAAAAAGUUAAAAUUAAGAGAAAUGAUAUUUUUAUCAGUUGUUUUUACAACUACAUCUGUGUAAUGUAAGUGGUGCACUUCUAAAAUGCAAAAAAUAUUACUGGAAUGGAGAAAGUUGAUAAAUAAAUGGUGAAUUGAGAAUAA